AUGAACGCUGGCGGCGUGCUUAACACAUGCCAGUCGAACGGAAAGGCUCCUGCUUGCAGGGGUACUCGAGUGGCGAACGGGUGAGUAACACGUGGGUGAUCUGCCCUGCACUUCGGGAUAAGCCUGGGAAACUGGGUCUAAUACCGGAUAGGACGAUGGUUUGGAUGCCAUUGUGGAAAGUUUUUCGGUGUGGGAUGAGCUCGCGGCCUAUCAGCUUGUUGGUGGGGUAAUGGCCUACCAAGGCGUCGACGGGUAGCCGGCCUGAGAGGGUGUACGGCCACAUUGGGACUGAGAUACGGCCCAGACUCCUACGGGAGGCAGCAGUGGGGAAUAUUGCACAAUGGGCGCAAGCCUGAUGCAGCGACGCCGCGUGGGGGAUGACGGCCUUCGGGUUGUAAACUCCUUUCGCUAGGGACGAAGCGUUUUGUGACGGUACCUGGAGAAGAAGCACCGGCUAACUACGUG
rnacentral:rRNA from 1 species